rnacentral:misc_RNA from 1 species
CGUUUUUGCCUUUCUUCCUCACUAUAUUCCAUUUCCUUUUCCCCAAUCUCUCUCCCUCUCUCUGCAAUUGCAGAUCUAGGUUUUUGAACUGCUCGAGAUGCAAGAUUUGUUGUUAUAUUCUCUUCGCUUCCUUGGAUCUGUCAACUUCCCUGCGGAUUUCAUAUUUCAUUAGAGAAUCCGUUGGAGAUCUGCUUCAAUUCCUG